rnacentral:rRNA from 1 species
GGAGAGACGCAGGAAGGUAGCCGAACCGCGGCGAUGGUUGUUCCGCGGGUAAGGGUGUAGGGCGAGGUGUAGGCAAAUCCGCACCUCAUGUGCCUGAGACCUGACACGGACCCGUAAGGGGAAGUCGGUGAUCCUAUGCUGCCAAGAAAAUCUUCUAGCGAGGUUCUAGCCGCCCGUACCCCAAACCGACUCAGGUGGUUAGGUAGAGAAUACCAAGGCGAUCGAGUGAAUCGUGGUUAAGGAAUUCGGCAAAAUACCCCCGUAACUUCGGGAGAAGGGGGGCCCAGAGGGUGACGGGACUUGCUCCCCGAGCCUGAACGGCCGCAGAGACCAGGGAGAAGCGACUGUUUACUAAAAACACAGGUCCGUGCCAAGUCGCAAGACGAUGUAUACGGACUGACGCCUGCCCGGUGCUGGAACGUUAAGGGGACCGGUUAGCCUCACGGCGAAGCUGAGAACUUAAGCGCCAGUAAACGGCGGUGGUAACUAUAACCAUCCUAAGGUAGCGAAAUUCCUUGUCGGGUAAGUUCCGACCUGCACGAAUGGCGUAACGACUUCUCCACUGUCUCAACCACGAACUCGGCGAAAUUGCACUACGAGUAAAGAUGCUCGUUACGCGCAGAAGGACGGAAAGACCCCGGGACCUUUACUACAGCUUGGUAUUGGUGUUCGGUACGGCUUGUGUAGGAUAGGUGGGAGACUGUGAAGCUGACACGCCAGUGUCGGUGGAGUCAACGUUGAAAUACCACUCUGGUCGUUCUGGAUAUCUAACCUAGGUCCGUAAUCCGGAUCAGGGACAGUGCCUGGUGGGUAGUUUAACUGGGGCGGUUGCCUCCUAAAAGGUAACGGAGGCGCCCAAAGGUUCCCUCAGCCUGGUUGGCAAUCAGGUUUCGAGUGUAAGUGCACAAGGGAGCUUGACUGUGAGACUGACAAGUCGAACAGGGACGAAAGUCGGGACUAGUGAUCCGGCGGUGGCUUGUGGAAGCGCCGUCGCUCAACGGAUAAAAGGUACCCCGGGGAUAACAGGCUGAUCUUGCCCAAGAGUCCAUACCGACGGCAUGGUUUGGCACCUCGCUGUCGGCUCGUCGCAUCCUGGGGGCUGGAGUAGGUCCCAAGGGUUGGGCUGUUCGCCCAUUAAAGCGGUACGCGAGCUGGGUUUAGAACGUCGUGAGACAGUUCGGUCCCUAUCCUCUGCGCGCGCAGGAAACUUGAGAAGGGCUGUCCCUAGUACGAGAGGACCGGGAUGGACGAACCUCUGGUGUGUCAGUUGUUCUGCCAAGAGCACCGCUGAUUAGCUACGUUCGGGAGUGAUAACCGCUGAAAGCAUCUAAGCGGGAAGCAUGCUUCAAGAUGAGGUUUCCAUGGGGUUUACCCCGAGAGGCUCCCAGCUAGACUACUGGGUUGAUAGGCCGGAUGUGGAAGUGCGGUAACGCAUGGAGCUGACCGGUACUAAUAAGCCGAUAACUUGAC